CCUACGGGCGGCAGCAGUGAGGAAUAUUGGUCAAUGGCCGGAAGGCUGAACCAGCCAAGCCGCGUGAAGGACGAAGGUGCCAAGCAUUGUAAACUUCUUUUGUCAGGGGACAAAAUCAGGUUCGUGAGCCUGACCGCGGGUACUUGAAGAAAAAGCAUCGGCUAACUCCGUGCCAGCAGCCGCGGUAAUACGGAGGAUGCGAGCGUUAUCCGGAUUUAUUGGGUUUAAAGGGUGCGUAGAUGGGUUGUUAAGUCAGUUGUGAAAGUUUGUGGCUCAACCGUAAAAUUGCAAUUGAUACUGGAAGUCUUGAGUACAGUUGAGGUAGGCGGAAUUCGUGGUGUAGCGGUGAAAUGCUUAGAUAUAACGUAGAACCCCGAUAGCGAAGGCAGCUUACUAGACUGUGACUGACAUUGAUGCUCGAAAGUGUGGGUAGCAAACAGGAUUAGAUACCCGGGUAGUC
rnacentral:rRNA from 1 species